CUCAGUUCAGAUUNUAGGCUGAAACUCGCCUAUAUGAAGUCGGAAUUGCUAGUAAUCGCGGAUCAGCAUGCCGCGGUGAAUACGUUCCCGGGCCUUGUACACACCGCCCGUCACACCAUGAGAGUCGAUAACACCCGAAGCCUGUAGUCUAACAGCAAUGAGGACGCAGUCGAAGGUGGGAUUGAUAAUUAGGGUGAAGUCGUAACAAGGUACC
rnacentral:rRNA from 1 species